CUAAACCACAUUUGCUGAUGGGGCCUAACAUCAGUAUUACAACUUUAAGAGGAAGUGGAAGCUGCAGAGUGGAGAAGGCAUUAUGGAUUAUGAAUCCUCUUAGCUAACCUGAGGCUGAUAGCCAAUGACGUUGAUGCAGCGCGGAUCGACAAAAGUGACGACACCAUCCGAGUUGUGACGUGACAGAAACUCUGUGGGCACCGACAAUCCGUUCAUAUCCAUUGAGACUGGAGAGCUGGUCACCUGAGAAAGGACAGUACCUGUUCGGUGAGAAAGGAGGGCUUAUAGGCCCCAUCAGUGGAUGUGUUGCCAGUGCCCCUCAUGGACUUCAUAUGGGAGACAGCCAUACGCAAGAUGGUCAGCUUAUCAGGUUUUCGGGCCAGGGCGCUGCAGGUAGGGACCAUGUCUGACAGCUCAGUGAUGUACUGGGUCA